rnacentral:lncRNA from 1 species
CUCAAACAGCUCUGCUGAAAGAUAUUUUCCUCCUCAUUUUAUAUUAAAGCAUAGCCCUGAAAGUUGUGAUUGCAAAGAAUACUCUCCCAGCAUCCCUUCCCCCUGAUAUCAUGGUAUCAUUCCCCAAAUUCCCUAUGCAUAAAGGAAGUUUUCCAUCCCUUUGUAGGACCUGAAAAGAAGAAGGAUGAAGUUAAUGGGCUGGAAAGGAAGCGGCAGCACCCUCCAAGACUGAUAACUUAUUAGAAAUGACCACCCUUGAGAGAUGCAAAAACUUCUGUACAAGCACGUAGUGAGCUUCCCAGCCCAGCAGUCAUUCAAGGAGACCACUAAAAAAACAAUCAAAGAUUCUCACACUAGACUGCAAAGGAAAAGCACCUUUAUCAUCUGGAGAAAGCAGUGAGAAAUGUCCCAAGCUUUUCAACAAACAUCCUG